GGGAGCUGUAUGAGCGGUAACGUCCACGUACGGCUCUGUGAGGAGGGUAGAAGACUAAAUUCUAACAUAUUGACGAAUCAUUCUAAU
rnacentral:ncRNA from 1 species